UACGGGGGGGGCAAGCGUUGUUCGGAAUUACUGGGCGUAAAGGGCUCGUAGGCGGCCAACUAAGUCGGAUGUGAAAUCCCCAGGCUUAACCUGGGAACUGCAUCCGAUACUGGAUGGCUUGAAUUCGGGAGAGGGGUGCAGAAUUCCAGGUGUAGCGGUGAAAUGCGUAGAUAUCUGGAGGAAUACCGGUGGCGAAGGCGGCAUCCUGGACCGACAUUGACGCUGAGGAGCGAAAGCUAGGGGAGCAAACGGG
rnacentral:rRNA from 1 species